GACGGAGGGUGCAAGCGUUGUUCGGAUUGACUGGGCGUAAAGGGCGUGUAGGCGGUUGGUCAAGUCCGAUGUGAAAGCCCGGGGCUCAGCUUCGGAAGUGCAUCGGAAACUAGCCAGCUGGAGCGCGAUAGAGGAGGGCGGAAGUUCCUGGUGUAGCGGUGAAAUGCGUAGAUAUCAGGAGGAACACCGGCGGCGAAGGCGGCCCUCUGGAUCGUUGCUAACGCUGAGACGCGAAAGCGUGGGGAGCAAACAGG
rnacentral:rRNA from 1 species